rnacentral:misc_RNA from 1 species
GAUGAAGAACGCAGCGAAAUGCGAUAAGUAAUGUGAAUUGCAGAAUUCAGUGAAUCAUCGAAUCUUUGAACGCACAUUGCGCCCGCCAGUAUUCUGGCGGGCAUGCCUGUUCGAGCGUCAUUUCAACCAUCAAGCCCCCGGCUUGUGUUGGGGACCUGCGGCUGCCGCAGGCCCUGAAAAGCAGUGGCGGGCUCGCUGUCACACCGAGCGUAGUAGCAUACAUCUCGCUCUGGGCGUGCUGCGGGUUCCGGCCGUUAAACCACCUUCAUAACCCAAGGUUGACCUCGGAUCAGGUAGGAAGACCCGCUGAACUUAAGCAUAUCAAUAAGCGGAAGA